UGGGGAAUAUUGCACAAUGGGGGAAACCCUGAUGCAGCGACGCCGCGUGAACGAAGAAGGUAUUCGUAUCGUAAAGUUCUGUCCUAUGGGAAGAUAAUGACAGUACCAUAGAAGAAAGCUCCGGCUAAAUACGUGCCAGCAGCCGCGGUAAUACGGAUGGAGCGAGCGUUGUCCGGAAUUAUUGGGCGUAAAGGGUACGCAGGCGGUUUAAUAAGUCGAAUGUUAAAGAUCGGGGCUCAACCCCGCAAAGCAUUGGAAACUGAUAAACUUGAGUAGUGGAGAGGAAAGUGGAAUUCCUAGUGUAGUGGUGAAAUACGUAGAUAUUAGGAGGAAUACCAGUAGCGAAGGCGACUUUCUGGACACAAACUGACGCUGAGGUACGAAAGCGUGGGGAGCAAACAGG
rnacentral:rRNA from 1 species